rnacentral:rRNA from 1 species
AAAGUUAGUGGCGGACGGGUGAGUAACACGUGGGCAACCUGCCUGUAAGUUGGGGAUAACUCCGGGAAACCGGAGCUAAUACCGAAUGAUAGACUGUGGCGCAUGCCACGCUUUUGAAAGAUGGUUUCGGCUAUCGCUUACAGAUGGGCCCCCGGUGCAUUAGCUAGUUGGUAGGGUAAUGGCCUACCAAGGCAACGAUGCAUAGCCGACCUGAGAGGGUAAUCGGCCACACUGGGACUGAGACACGGCCUUGACUCCUACGGGAGGCAGCAGUAGGGAAUCUUCCGCAAUGGACGAAAGUCUGACGGAGCAACGCCGCGUGUAUGAAGAAGGUUUUCGGAUCGUAAAGUACUGUUGUUAGAGAAGAACAAGGAUAAGAGUAACUGCUUGUCCCUUGACGGUAUCUAACCAGAAAGCCACGGCUAACUACGUGCCAGCAGCCGCGGUAAUACGUAGGUGGCCAGCGUUGUCCGGAUUUAUUGGGCGUAAAGCGCGCGCAGGCGGUCUUUUAAGUCUGAUGUGAAAGCCCCCGGCUUAACCGGGCCGGGUCAUUGGAAACUGGAAGACUGGAGUGCAGAAGAGGAGAGUGGAAUUCCACGUGUAGCGGUGAAAUGCGUAGAUAUGUGGAGGAACACCAGUGGCGAAGGCGACUCUCUGGUCUGUAACUGACGCUGAGGCGCUUAAGCGUGGGGAGCAAACAGGAUUAGAUACCCUGGUAGUCCACGCCGUAAACGA